UACGGGGGGGGCAAGCGUUGUUCGGAAUUACUGGGCGUAAAGGGUUCGUAGGUGGCCAACUAAGUCAGACGUGAAAUCCCUCAGCUUAACUGGGGAACUGCGUCUGAGACUGGAUGGCUUGAGUGCAGGAGAGGGUCGCGGAAUUCCCGGUGUAGAGGUGAAAUUCGUAGAUAUCGGGAGGAACACCGGUGGCGAAGGCGGCGACCUGGGUAGAUACUGACGCUGAGGUGCGAAAGCGUGGGGAGCGAACAGG
rnacentral:rRNA from 1 species